rnacentral:rRNA from 1 species
UACGUAGGGUGCGAGCGUUGUCCGGAAUUAUUGGGCGUAAAGGGCUCGUAGGCGGUCUGUCACGUCGGGAGUGAAAACUCAGGGCUUAACCCUGAGCCUGCUUCCGAUACGGGCAGACUAGAGGUAUGCAGGGGAGAACGGAAUUCCUGGUGUAGCGGUGAAAUGCGCAGAUAUCAGGAGGAAUACCGGUGGCGAAGGCGGCAUCCUGGACCGAGAUUGACGCUGAGGAGCGAAAGCUAGGGGAGCAAACGGG